rnacentral:rRNA from 1 species
GGAGUGGCAGACGGGUGAGUAACGCGUGGGAAUAUCCCCCUCAGUACGGAAUAGCCCAGGGAAACUUGGAGUAAUACCGUAUACGUCCGUGAGGAGAAAGAUUUAUCGCUGAGGGAUUAGCCCGCGUAGGAUUAGCUAGUUGGUGAGGUAACGGCUCACCAAGGCGACGAUCCUUAGCUGGUCUGAGAGGACGAUCAGCCACACUGGGACUGAGACACGGCCCAGACUCCUACGGGAGGCAGCAGUGGGGAAUAUUGGACAAUGGGCGCAAGCCUGAUCCAGCCAUGCCGCGUGAGUGACGAAGGCCUUAGGGUUGUAAAGCUCUUUUGGCGGGGACGAUAAUGACGGUACCCGCAGAAUAAGCCCCGGCUAACUUCGUGCCAGCAGCCGCGGUAAUACGAAGGGGGCUAGCGUUGUUCGGAAUCACUGGGCGUAAAGCGCACGUAGGCGGACUUUCAAGUCAGGGGUGAAAUCCCGGGGCUCAACCUCGGAACUGCCUUUGAUACUGUUGGUCUCGAAUCCGGUAGAGGUGGGUGGAAUUCCUAGUGUAGAGGUGAAAUUCGUAGAUAUUAGGAAGAACACCGGUGGCGAAGGCGGCCCACUGGACCGGUAUUGACGCUGAGGUGCGAA